GCCAACGUAGGCACUCUCGCAGUUCCUCCGCCUUCAGGAAGGUCUUUUUGGCAGGGGCCUUACGGGUGCGCGCUUCGGUCCUGGAGGCGUUAUCCUAGCCUCCUCUCCAUCAGCGCCACCCGUCUGGGGCCCGAUAGGAGGGAGAUUUCCCUCUGUCCCCCAGCCUUUGGACUGUCACCAAACAAGCCAUUCGUUCACCAAAUACUUAUUAAGCGCCUACCAUGUGUCUGGCAAGGGAGAUGUAACAGUGAGAAAAACUAGGUGUGGUCCAGGCCCUCCAGGGGCUCAGGGGCUCGUGGAAGAAGUAGACAUUGAAGUACUUAUCACACAAAUGAGUAUAAAAGUACAAUAGCGAUAUCUGCCACGAAGGCGAGCAGACAGAGCUAGCGGGGCUUGCAGGAGGAGUUUUGAUCUUGCAGGGAUAGGAAGGAGGACUUAGUUCCUGCGGGGUGGGCUUGGGGGUGGUGGUGAUAGAGACGUGGGGACAGAGUGGAAAACAACAAAAAUAUAAUUAUUUUAGUUCAAAGUUAUUGUGUCUUGAGUUGAAAGGCAGGGCAGUUAGCAACACAGUUCAGAUUUCAGUACUGCCCCUGAAAUCUGAACUGUGUUCAAAGUCUAAAACGUUUACCUUAGCAAAUCCCUCAUAAAACUCCAUUUGGAAGAGUCCCGAGAGCGAAUUUGUUAAGUAUACUUGCAAAAGGUAGAUGAGGAGACAGAUAAAAUCUUAUUACCUCUUUCAGAUGAGAGGCACUUGAGCCCUGCUCAGCUAUGAGAAUAAGAGAGGGGAAUUAAUUCUAAUUGAAUACACUUGUUCUCUUAUAGCUGUUGUUCCACACCAGAACCAAAUGAACGCAAGAUCUGACAAAGAAAAAAAGAGGUUCAUCUUUUAUUCCCCCAAACCCUUUCAUUUAAAUCAAGAGGGUGGGAUGUGGUUAUUGCUGUGUUUUUAGGCAGAAUCAACGGUUUCUGGGUCUGAGAUGUUGCAUACACCCUCUCAGUCCCUGUAUCCUGAGAUGGAGUCACCUGAGAAUCCACAGCAAGUCCUAACCAGGGAUGGGUCUGGGUGAUUAAGGAAGGUUGGCUUCAGAACUGGGCCAGGGGCACUGCUUUGCUUUUGCUGUUUUGAUCAGCUCUCUGCCUGCAGGAGACAAGGAAAACCAAUGGGAACAGGUUAGUUAUACUCAUAAAUCCUGGGCUUAUUUUAUUAACUCACAUAAUAGCUAUUAAUUGUCUUUCCUCCAAGGAGCAAAAGGGCAUAUACGGUCAAUUCCAUAGUAAGUAACACUGUAUUAUGUUAUACUAAAAUAUUAAUCUAGGUUUGUUCAGUCUUUCCUGAUUCCGUAGAUUGGAAGCGGAUUGAAGAAGGACGCUAGUGGACCACAGAGCUGAGCCAUGCACACAGAAGAAAUCUUUUUUUCUUUUUUUUUUUUGGAGACGGAGCUUUGCUCUC
rnacentral:lncRNA from 1 species